UACGUAGGGGGCUAGCGUUGUCCGGAAUCAUUGGGCGUAAAGAGCGUGUAGGCGGUCCGGUAAGUCCGCUGUGAAAGUCGGGGGCUCAACCCUCGAAUGCCGGUGGAUACUGUCGGGCUAGAGUGCGGAAGAGGCGAGUGGAAUUCCUGGUGUAGCGGUGAAAUGCGCAGAUAUCAGGAGGAACACCAGCGGCGAAGGCGGCGCUCUGGGCCGGUACUGACACUGAGGAGCGAAAGCGUGGGUAGCAAACAGG
rnacentral:rRNA from 1 species